rnacentral:rRNA from 1 species
GUGGGUGGCAAGCGUUGUCCGGAAUUAUUGGGCGUAAAGCGCGCGCAGGUGGGUUCUUUAAGUCUGAUGUGAAAGCCCCCGGGCUCAACCGGGGAGGGUCAUUGGAAACUGGGGAACUUGAGUGCAGGAGAGGAAAGUGGAAUUCCACGUGUAGCGGUGAAAUGCGUAGAUAUGUGGAGGAACACCAGUGGCGAAGGCGACUUUCUGGCCUGUAACUGACACUGAGGCGCGAAAGCGUGGGGAGCAAACAGGAUUAGAUACCCUGGUAGUCCACGCCGUAAACGAUGAGUGCUAAGUGUUGGGGGGUUUCCGCCCCUCAGUGCUGCAGCUAACGCAUUAAGCACUCCGCCUGGGGAGUACGGCCGCAAGACUG